UAGGGAAUCUUCCACAAUGGACGCAAGUCUGAUGGAGCAACGCCGCGUGAGUGAAGAAGGUUUUCGGACCGUAAAGCUCUGUUGUUGGUGAAGAAGGAUAGAGGUAGUAACUGGCCUUUAUUUGACGGUAAUCAACCAGAAAGUCACGGCUAACUACGUGCCAGCAGCCGCGGUAAUACGUAGGUGGCAAGCGUUGUCCGGAUUUAUUGGGCGUAAAGCGAGCGCAGGCGGAAGAAUAAGUCUGAUGUGAAAGCCCUCGGCUUAACCGAGGAAUUGCAUCGGAAACUGUUUUCUUGAGUGCAGAAGAGGAGAGUAGAACUCCAUGUGUAGCGGUGGAAUGCGUAGAUAUAUGGAAGAAUACCAGUGGCGAAGGCGGCUCUCUGGUCUGCAACUGACGCUGAGGCUCGAAAGCAUGGGUAGCGAACAGGAUUAGAUACCCUGGUAGUCCAUGCCGUAAAACGAUGAGUGCUAAGUGUUGGGAGGCUUCCGCCUCUCAGUGCUGCAGCUAACGCAUUAAGCACUCCGCCUGGGGGAGUACGACCGCAAGGCUGAAAC
rnacentral:rRNA from 1 species